GUGCCAGCAGCCGCGGUAAGACGAAGGUGGCAAGCGUUGUUCGGAUUCACUGGGCAUAAAGGGCGCGUAGGCGGUUCCGCAAGCGGUUUGUGAAAUCCUCUGGCUCAACCAGAGACGUGCAGGCCGGACUGCGGUACUUGAGGGCGGUAGGGGAGAGUGGAACUCUCGGUGGAGCGGUGAAAUGCGUAGAUAUCGAGAGGAACACCGGUGGCGAAGGCGACUCUCUGGUCCGCCCCUGACGCUGAGGCGCGAAAGCGUGGGUAGCAAACAGGAUUAGAAACCCUCGUAGUCC
rnacentral:rRNA from 1 species